CACAUAUUACUGUAUAAACUUCUCGGUGAUUUCAUCCAUCCCUGCAUCCACAUGACAUCAUAAUAUCAUAAACUCAGCCGGGGUUGUGAAUUUUUAACUCUCAUUUGAACAGUAUCACUUUAAUAUCUGGCAAUAUUGUCCUCAACAUAUAUCUAAACAUGAUCUUUCUUAACUUCCUAAUGGAACCCCCCAAACUGCUGCUCUACCAACUUAUAAAACUAAUCUCUCAAACAUCGAAAUGAAAAAAAAACUCAGAGAAUCAUUUUUAUCUCUCAAGCUCCUAAUUCCUACAUGUGAGAAUCACUAAACCCUACUUACUUUUUUCUACCUCUCCUGUCCUGUUUGUAUGCCUACCACUAAACAUCUUGAUACUUUGUUUCUUUACUGCUUCAUAUACAGACACUUGUGAUCAGAACCUGCUUUGUGGCCUGGUGCAAGUCACUCACCUCCCCUUUCUGUACAAAUUCUCAACAUUUUUAUAAGUUGACAACCAAACAUCUAGGGCAUUUUUAAGCUGGCAAAUAUAAGUGGAAGAGAUCAAAAAAUAGAAAAAAAUCAAAAGCAGGCCUAAGGGCACAUGUGUACCUUUCUGACACUAGGGGAGUGUUAUGAGCUGAUUUUAUGCAUGUGAGCCUCAGGGUUUUUUAAGCGCCAGAUGAGCCACAUCCUUUUGACCCUUCAGUAACCUCCCUUAGAAGGUUCAAACACCAGGUGCUUGAUUAUUAUGCUGCUUUGGUAUCAAUUCUCAGAACUGCAAGUCCUUGCCAUAAUUGCUGCUCUCAAUGGCUCUGGUCCUUUGCUCCUUCAACCUCCAUUCAGUGUUACAAUGGAAAUGAUCCUUCUAAAGUCAUCCUUAAAAAUUAAACAACAACUGUGAUCAAGCUGCAAAUGAGUUUAUUCAGAAAUAGCAGAGGAAUUGCAAUUUGGGCCAACUAUGGUGAACUACAGGCAAGUCCAGAGAACAAAAGGAGAGAGCAUCCUUUUAUAGAGGAAAGAAGAAAAUUGGGAGGAGCUGUGUUAGAAAAGUUCAUUGGGGGGAUUCCUGGGUGGCGCAGCGGUUUAGCGCCUGCCUUUGGCCCAGGGCGUGAUCCUGGAGACCCGGGAUCGAGUCCCACCUCGGGCUCCCUGCAUGGAGCCUGCUUCUCCCUCUGCCUGUGUCUCUGCCUCUCUCUCUCUGUGUCUCUCAUGAAUAAAUAAAUCUUUAAAAAAAAAAAAAAAAAGUUCAUUGGGGGAAAAUGAGAGUUUUAUAUACCUAUGUAUGUAAUUUUCACAUCAUAACUCAGAGAAACUCAGAUUAUGUUACCUUAUCAAUCAAUUCUUUUAAUGGCUCCUCAGUCCUUACUGCAUUAAAACCCAGACUUAACCCCCUCUCCCCUCCCCCACCAGUCAAGUGCCCCUAAUCUUGUCUGUACCUGCCUUUUCAGUCUUGUCUUCUCCUUUCUUUCUUUCUUUUUUUGAGAUAGACAGAGAACAUGCAGGGAGGAGAGCAUGAAUAGGGGUGUGAGAGUGAAGGGGGGGGCACAGAGAGAGAGAGAGAAUCUUUAAAAGGCUCCACGCCCAGCACAGAGCCCAACACUAGGCUUGAUCCCACAGCCCUGAGAUCAUGACCUGAGCCGAAAUCGAGUCAGAUGUUUAACUGAUGGAACCACCUAGAUGCCACAAAGAUACAUUUUUUAUAGUUGCAUUGUAAUCUAUUUUGUGGAUACCUGUAAUUUACUUAUCCAUUCAUCAAAGCUGUUUCUGACCUGUUCCUUUUCUUGAAAAAAAGGCGGGACGCACCAGGGUGGCUCAGUUGUUUAAGUGUCUGCCUUCAGCUCAGGUCAUGAUUCCAGAGUCCCAGGAUCAAGCCCCCUGUUGGGCUCCCUGCUCAAUCAGGAGCCUUCUCCCUCUCCCUCUCCUGUGCUCCUUCUUAUGCUCUCUCUCUCUCUCUCUCUCAAAUAAAUAAAUAAACUCUUAAAAAAAAAAACUGUCUCUGUAGAUAUACUUUGCAUAUUUGUCUUAUAAAGUCAUAUUAUAAAUUUCUAGUAUAGAAAUUGCUAGAUGAAAGAAAAAGCUUUUUUUUAAGUUUAUUAUUUUUUUUGGUAAUAUCAUCACCCAACAUGGAGCUCACACUCAUGACCCUAAGAUCAUUAGUCGUAUGCUCUUCCUACUGAGCCAGCCAGGCACCCAGAAAAGAACAAGCUUUGAAAACUGAAAGCAAUAUAAUUACCUGUCCCUAUCUUGAAUAAUAGUAGAACUAGACACUAGACAUACUCUCCCGUACUUAUGUUAAACAAUUCUGAAACCAAGCAAAAAUAACCUGGUUGGGCAGCCCGGGUGGCCCAGCGGUUUAGCACCGGCUUCAGCCCAGGGCUUGGUCCUGGAGACCCAGGAUGGUCCCACGUCAGGCUCCCAGCAUGGAGCCUGCUUCUCCCCCUGCCUGUGUCUCUGCCUCUCUCUCUCUGCCUCUCAUGAA
rnacentral:lncRNA from 1 species